rnacentral:misc_RNA from 1 species
GAUGAAGAACGUAGCGAAAUGCGAUAAGUAAUGUGAAUUGCAGAAUUCAGUGAAUCAUCGAAUCUUUGAACGCACAUUGCGCCCGCCAGUAUUCUGGCGGGCACGCCUGUCUGAGCGUCAUUUCAACCCUCAUGCCCCUAGGGCGUGGUGUUGGGGAUCGGCCAAAGCCCGCGAGGGACGGCCGGCCCCUAAAUCUAGUGGCGGACCCGUCGUGGCCUCCUCUGCGAAGUAGUGAUAUUCCGCAUCGGAGAGCGAUGAGCCCCUGCCGUUAAACCCCCAACUUUCCAAGGUUGACCUCAGAUCAGGUAGGAAUACCCGCUGAACUUAAGCAUAUCAAUAAGCGGAGGA